UACAGAGGGUGCGAGCGUUAAUCGGAAUUACUGGGCGUAAAGCGCGCGUAGGCGGCUUUGCAAGUCGGGUGUGAAAUCCCCAGGCUUAACCUGGGAACUGCAUUCGAGACUGCAUUGCUAGAGUAUGGGAGAGGGAAGCGGAAUUUCCGGUGUAGCGGUGAAAUGCGUAGAUAUCGGAAGGAACAUCAGUGGCGAAAGCGGCUUCCUGGACCAGUACCGACGUUCAGGCACGAAAGCGUGGGGAGCAAACAGG
rnacentral:rRNA from 1 species